GACGAGGGAUCCAAGCGUUGUUCGGAAUUACUGGGCGUAAAGCGUGCGCAGGCGGUUUUGCAAGCCGGAUGUGAAAUCCCCGGGCUCAACCUGGGAAUGGCAUUCGGGACUGCAAGGCUGGAGUGCGGCAGAGGAGACUGGAAUUCCUGGUGUAGCAGUGAAAUGCGUAGAUAUCAGGAGGAAUACCGAUGGCGAAGGCAGGUCUCUGGGCUGACACUGACGCUCAUGCACGAAAGCGUGGGGAGCAAACAGG
rnacentral:rRNA from 1 species